rnacentral:ncRNA from 1 species
CGUAGAGGAAAAAUUUCCCGAAGUCCAUGGCCUUGAUCAUGCCUACAUUUGAGGGUCAUUCGAUCAUGUCAUAAGAUUUCCCAAAAAUCAAUCUCAAUGAAGAGGGUGUUGAAAUCAAGGAAACAUUUGAGGGCAUUCCAUAACUUUUUCCCUUUCAAGCAAUAUCACAGACAACCUUCCAUCCAAAGAAAACAAAAUUGAAACCCAUUUUUUAGAGUUGUUGGUGCCUCAUCCUAUAAUUGACGACAACGUUAGGAAAUUCGGAGACGUCGUCGGGGGCCUCGGGAAGAGUUAUCUUUUAUUUUUAACAGCUUUCCCACCAUGAAAUCGGCUCAACUAGAGAUAGGGUCCAACAACUGGAAGAGCAUCACAUGUAUUAUGGUGUCCAGUGUGCCCUUGGUGGCCCUUGAAAAUCUGGAGGACCGAGUACCGUCCAUACCCGGUCGUACUCAUAACUGCAUCAGGUCUCCAAGGUGAACAACCUCUG